AGCAGCGUAGCUUAGUGGAAAGAGCAUGGGCUUGGGAGUCAGAGAUCGUGGGUUCUAAUCCCAGCUCUGCCA
rnacentral:tRNA from 1 species